rnacentral:sRNA from 1 species
CCGGAAGGGGUAGGGUCGUCGUCCGGGUGACGCCUCUACGAUUGGCACCCAGACGCGGAGGCGGGAGGAGCCGGGACAGUUGCUGAGCUUUUGAGAGGAAGGACCUGUGCCACCAUGCCUGGAGGGAUUUGUCAAUCUUUUGAGAGCAACUAUCAUGGAUCCUGGUAGCAACACAGGCCAGCAAUCCCAGCACCAGGGAGACCAUGGGAGAUGGCUUGGAGUUCAGGGGCUGUCUGGGCUUCAGGGCGUGACCUACCGUAAACAGCAACCGCCAUCAUGACCCCCAAAGGAGAGAAAACCAGGGAAGAGACUCUGCCUCAGGGCCAUGGUCAGUGUCGCAUGCCAGAUUAGGUUUAGAGAGAGAGGAACACAAGUCUUCCUUCCCUGAGGCUGGGAUGGCAGACCUGUGCUCCCAGGCCUGACCCCAUGCCUGCCGCACAAAAGAAAUCCCCACUGAGACUCGAGAGGAUAUCAGUGUUCCCGGUGUGCUGCUCGCCCCAGCCCCCCAACCCCUCAAAGGCUGGCACUGCGCCUGCCCACAAGGG